GCUCAAUUGGUCUAGUGGUAUGAUUCUCGCUGUAUGUAUCAAAUCAUUUCUACCGCCUUUGUGCACGACUCACACCUAAAUAGUAGGGCUUACUCUAAGCAAAAUGCGAGAGGUCCCAGGUUCGAACCCUGGAUUGGGCC